rnacentral:lncRNA from 1 species
UACUGUUCUUAACAAAUUAGAUACUGGAAAAGCAUACCUAAAUUAGGGAUGGGCACGCAAGCCAAGCAAAUAAAAGAACUUCUGCUCAGGCAGCCAUUUCAUCUUCUCUGGGCUUGUUCUGGUCCCGGAGCUCCAACUGAAGGUGUUGCUGCCACACUGCUGGCUGACCCGUUUUCAACUGGUGGAGGCACGCCCCAUUUGUUUUCGGAUUCAAGGGGCUCAAAGACAAGAACCCCACCAUCUGAGAGUCCCAAUGCAAAUCCAUUUGGCUCUGAUGGAUGUGCAGCAAUUACAAGUGGGUGAACAUUGGAACUGCAACAUAGAGGAAAAGAUCAUUUUUAAAUAAGAAGGUUAUCACAAAUGGGGAGUGUGGAACACACACUAAAUUCAAAUGAGAACUAGUAAAGCUGAGAGGCAAACAAAAGUUGCACAUGAAUUACGGUCAGGAUUGACUAAUUAUUUUCCAUUUGCAAACGAUCUAACCCAUAUAGCCUCUGCUAAUAAUACAAGCCUGAAACACUAAACUGCAUUGAUAAUACGAGAGAGAGAGAAAAAACAAAAAAAACUAACGGCAGUCCAAGUCUAGACUGGAGUUUGUAAUGCAAAACGUACUCAUACUCCUUUUCCAACAGUAUUAAGUUUUUUGUAAUUUAAAACUACAGCAUGCAAGCCAGUGCAUCUAAGUGUGCAUGUCAUUGAAUCCUUUGUACCCAAAAUUUGUGCUUUAGCCAAGCUUUGAGACCGACUAGCCACACCAAACCCAUAUACCUGAGUCAAGCAGAGGAGGGAAAAUACCUGACACUAGCAGGAAGAUAAGCAGAAGGAUUUAUUCGACAACAUAGUCUGAGGUUCACAGCACUAAACACACAGACAGUUGAAUCUAAAAGGCUGGCAUAUACCAGUUGGCUAUCACAUGAGAAUGUUGCAAAAGUUAUUGGUGCAGAAGAUUCACGUGGGACCCACUAAAACAGAGAAGAAAAAUUAGAACAGCUGAGCAACAUGAUACUGUUCCACAAGAAAUCAAACAAUGAUAAAGAGGUACCUGCUUCAAACAUUCUAGCUUUGUUGUUUCAUAUAUUGCAAGCUGAGUCUCAUCUACAACAAGAAAAUGCAUCUGGUCUUGAUGGAAUUGUACAGCCAUGUCUGACUGUGCUGUUGGUGUCCUCCAAGCUGAAACCUGCAAGAAUCUGGCCUCCUGCAUUUCCCAUCCAUCGGUGUUCCAUACACAAAGCUGGAGAAAGAAUGUUAGUGUGAUCAAUGAACCAAAAAUCAAAUUUUUAUCAAUGAUAAUCCUUCAACUUCCUAGAUUGAUCUGUCAAUUAACUAAGAAAUCCAGCAGCAGCAAUCAAUUUUUCUGGGAGAAAGCAGAUGAAACUUCGCUAUCAUGGAGCAGGUCAAACUAAGGCAACACUAAGAAGAUUUAUUGAAAGAAACAAACCACAUAAUCUAGCCAUGUAUGAAUUGUGUCACAGCAAUAAAACUCAGAGGAAAGCUAAUUCAUUGUAGCAUGCAUGUAAAAUAAAAAAUGAGUACCUGAGAAUCCGCUCCCGAUGAGACAAGCACAUUCAGUACAUGAGAGAAGGCAAGGCCAGUUAUUCUUUUGGAGUGGCCUCUAAGUUUAGCAAUCACCUGGAUGAUGAAAACAGUAACUAAAUAACUAGUGCUACUUCUCUAAAAGAGAAUUAAUUGUCCACAACAUGCAUCAUACCUCAUUCACACGGACAUUAUAUAUCACAAUUGUUGAAUUGUCCAUGCCUAUAGCCAUAAUAUUAUUAUCGUGUGGGUGGAAUGCAAGAAAAGUCGCUGCUGGCGGUGGUGGCAUGAACGUUACCAUUGUCUGCAUGUGUCAAUAUAAAUAUGAUAUGCUUACUCAAAUAAUUGACAAGUGCAGGGAGAAGGGAAGAGGAAGAGGAAGAUCUUUCCUGCCCCAACUAUAAAUGUGACAAAUGCAGAGAGACGGGAAGAGAAAGAGGAAGAACUUUCCUGCCCCAACUAUAAAUGUAAAGGAAUGUAAAGAAAAAAUAGAAUAAGGAAAUGCAUUCCAGCAGUCAUGAGUUACCGUAAAUGUCAGCAAAUUAAACAAGGAUAUCUUUCCCCCAGAUGCUGAAAUUACAUAAGAAUCAUUCUUUGAUAAAGCAAAACAGGGUACAGCAUCUUCAUGAUUUGUGCCGGCAACAUCAUUUUUCAUCAGAAUGCCACUUGAAGGUCGCCACAACUGAGGUGGUACAGUAGCAGUUGCCUACAGAUUGAAGCAAUGAUAUAACUAUUACAGUAAAAAUUACCGUACAAGUCAUUUUAAAAUAUUCUUGUAUGACAAAAAGUUCACAAUGAUGAGUAGAAACUAUUUUGAUAUCCUUCCUCCUACCUUGCCAUUUGAAUUAAGAUCACUUCUCUGCCACUUCCAAAGCAAGUGAAUAGCAUUUGAUGCUAAUGCCAAAAUAGCAUUACCUGAAUUUGUGAAGAUUAACCUUGAUAUCUGAAAUAAUCACAGGAAAAGCUAAUAAGAUAGGGCCCAAAUAAAGAAGAUGAAUAAGUUGUCAUCAGAGUGAAUGGCCAAAAUUACAUUCAAGUCAUAAAGCAUUAUCACAAAAAAGGCUAGUUACAUUAAGGGGAAUUUUGAUAGGGAUAAGGUGCACUACAAAAAAAGAAACAGGUGAACAACAGUGUAUAAUUUCUGAACACUUACAGACAGCACAUUUUAUGCAAAUAUCAUGGGCAUUUAUUAAAUAAUUUGACUUCAAAUUAAAUAAUCUUUUAGAACCAGUUAAUUCAUUGUCAUGCUACCAUCAAAGAAGGUCUAGACCAGAACUUUAAAUCAGCAUCUUUCCUGUUACAGAAUAAUCAUUUUGAAACCAUUUAGUCUACAUCUACUUAUACAUCAUCUAGGACUGAGUGAUGUUAUGUAGCAUUUAGGUGAUGCAAAUUUACACUUAACUUCUCAAUAUCUUAAUAGAUCAUUCAACUACUAAAGAAUUACUUCUUAGUUAGUUCUUCAUUCGUCUAUUCUUAGUAACACAGGAUUAAAGAUAGUAGGAACCACAAUGAUGUGUUCAUUUCGUCAAGAUAGAUGUCAUCGCACUAAUACAUUUGGCUGCAUGAUUUGCUCCUCCUCUCAGAAGUGCAUUUCAUUUCAAUCUCUACUCUUUUUCUUAGAGACCAACAUAAGUGUAAACCAGGAUCCUAGACAGUUUCCUCUAGUGGAGAAACAAUUCAGAGCAAUGAUAUCUUAAAAUUGUCAGAUUUCUUAAAUCCAACCAAAGAUAAAAGUGAGAAGACUUGGAGAGUUUUUCUAGACAUGCAAGGUAGUUUUAAAAUGGUAACAAGUAAAUAAUAUGGACAAAAAUGUCAUAUUAUAAAUAUUAGAGGCAUUUUUCUGACGAUAGCACUUAGCAAAAAUCCAUAAUUGAGAACUAAUUGAUAUCGCACCUCUGAAUUACAAGGUGUUGCUUACGUUUCCUUAUUUAUAAUGCAAUCCACAGGACGCAUGAGAGAGCAAAGUAGCUAAAGCAGAAUCAUGAAAACCAUCAAAUUGGCUAAAGACAAAGUGUCAUUGAAACAGCCAAAACAUGCAGAAAAAACCAAACCAAUGACUCGGCCAGACAACAAAUAUAAUCAACUAGUCAACCUACCAGCAUGUUAUUAAAUCUAUGAAGCACAAAGCUAAUAUGAAAUUUUCUAUACCUUGGUUACCCUCGAGUUUUCAGGAAGCCUCAAGGAUCGACACUGAGAUGGUUCACUGAUUUCAGUGAGCUUCCAAACCUUUGAUUUAUCACUGGAUUCUUCCGAUAUUCUGGGUUCAACAUUCCCCAAACUCCAGGCAUCCCCAUUCUGAAAAAAGCAUAAUGCACAAAUCACAAAGUCAUGCACCCAGGCUCCACUAAUGACAGGAGAAACAAUGAUAACGUAACCAUAAUGCAAAAUGACGUUGAAGUGCUGGUGUGAUCAAAUUUUUUAUGUUGAUGAUGAAAAAAAUUAAAAAAAAAAAAAGAACAUUCAUGUCUAGCGAACCAUUGCAGCAAUAGUAACCACGGAGGCACCUCUGUCUGCAAUUCCAGCAGCAGUAGCGGCUGAGAUUGGAUUUAUUGUAGGCUGAGAAAACAACACAUCAGAAGACAAGAUUUAAUUUAGCAUCUGGACCUUGUAUAGCAAAUUUUAAUCUGCUAAUGAAACUAAAUGAGGUAAUAACACUACCUUGGGGGCUUCAGCUAACCUCCCUAGUCUGGUGAACUUCCGCCCUGAGUAAUUCUUAUGGUUGGGUGGUUAUUCUGUAAAUAACUUCUAUGAGAUUGGGAGACAGCUAUCUAUGUUUAUAAAAGGUGAAGUAGAUGUUUGAUGUAUUAGUAGAUGUGGGUGAUUGCAGGUGAUACAAACUCGGGUCCAGAACAAAGGAUUCCCAUGGAAGCAAGCCUGAAACAAACUCCGUAAAUAAAUGGAAGGGUGAUUCUGAAAUGAUCCCUUCAGGGGCUGCGCCAGAUAGAUAGAAGAAUGGAGAAAAUACUCUUUGGACUUUGGACUUUGGAAUUUGGAGGGUAUAAGAACAGUAUAUCAUGUACUGCUCUCGUCCAUGGAUGGCAUGCAAUAUACAUUCCGUGUUAAACGCACAUGAGGCUUUGUUUCCUAACCUUUUUCUCUGCUCCAUUACCGUUUUUAUGAAGAUGCGCGCUGGCGAAUGGUUGGGCAAUCCCAACUGUUUGAGGCUAAGGCCUAAUUGGACGAAUGCAGGGGUUGGGUGUUGAAUGCUUUGUGAUCAAAGGCUUACUGUUGAAGCCCCUCUGUUGCCUUGUUGGUUCAUUGCAGACUCUAUAGGGAUGCCAAUGGGUUUCAUCACGUCCCAACCCAGACAUUUGUUUGUUUUAUGUUUAUAUAUAUAUUUACUUCAAUUAUAUUUAGCUCGUGACCGGAGUUUCAUGAUCGUAUGCCGUCGUGGUAUGCUACAACACUUGUUCUGCAGUGAUACCGUCUCUCUUGUUCAGAUACUACAACUGAGUCUGACAUGAAGCAUCCCAAAAACAAACUGGCAAAGGACUAUGUUGUCGAAUCCUUGGACAAUAAAAAGGUCACCAGCCAAAGUUGAUGACAACAAAGAGAACACUGGUUUGUGAAAAUUGUAAAUGUUAUACAUAAAAAGAACAUUGCCAUUUAUGGAAAAGGGAAGGGGAGGGGGGUGAAUAUAGAAGACAAACAACUACAACAGCAAAGAAAAUCCUUCCUUCCAAGAAUUUCUACCCUCCAAAAGGGCAUAAGAAAACACUUGAAACUAUCAAAUACUAGUAUGACAUUUACCUUAGAUUGUAUCUGACAAAAUAUGUUAAAUCUACAUCUUUGCAUAUUGUUCUCAGAUCACAUAUCUUGAUUGUCAAGCUGCAAAAUUUUACAAGGAAAAAGAUUGGAUAAGUAAGGAGAGAGCAGCAAGAAAGCAACUGCCAAAUUAAAUUUUAUAUUAACCUUCUAGGAGGUGGGAGGCUUAACUUGGUACAAUUCCCAAAUUCAUAAUUGUUAGACAAAAUGAAUUACAAUACAACUUCAAAGAGAUUUGUAACGGUCAUUAUCAAUUGGGCACUGCUACCUUCUAGUUAAGCAACCAGACAAACCAAAAGGGUUUUGUCCUGCUGCUUCAAUAAGCACCACCAACUGUUACAAUGACCCAAAUUCAGCUCUAAUUCGGAAAUGGUGAACAACCCAGGUGUUGGAUCAACUAGUUUGGGAUGUCUCUCUUUCAUCAAUACUGUUCUUAACAAAUUAGAUACUGGAAAAGCAUACCUAAAUUAGGGACGGGCAUGCAAGCCAAGCAUAUAAAAGAACUUGUGCUCAGGCAGCCAUUUCAUCAUCUCUGGGCUUGUUCUGGUCCCGGAGCUCCAACUGAAGGUGUUGCUGCCACACUGCUGGCCGACCCAUUUUCAACUGGUGGAGGCACGCCCCAUUUAUUUUCAGAUUCAAGGGGCUCAAAGACAUGAACCCCGCCAUCUGAGAGUCCCAAUGCAAAUUCAUUUGGCUCUGAUGGAUGUGCAGCAAUU